rnacentral:rRNA from 1 species
AUUGAACGCUGGCGGCAUGCCUUACACAUGCAAGUCGAACGGUAACCGGUCUUCGGAUGCUGACGAGUGGCGAACGGGUGAGUAAUACAUCGGAACGUGCCUAGUAGUGGGGGAUAACUACUCGAAAGAGUGGCUAAUACCGCAUGAGAGCUACGGAUGAAAGCAGGGGAUCGCAAGACCUUGUGCUACUAGAGCGGCCGAUGGCAGAUUAGGUAGUUGGUGGGAUAAAAGCUUACCAAGCCGACGAGCUGUAGCUGGUCUGAGAGGACGAUCAGCCACACUGGGACUGAGACACGGCCCAGACUCCUACGGGAGGCAGCAGUGGGGAAUUUUGGACAAUGGGCGCAAGCCUGAUCCAGCAAUGCCGCGUGCAGGAUGAAGGCCUUCGGGUUGUAAACUGCUUUUGUACGGAACGAAAAGCCCUGGGUUAAUACCCUGGGGUCAUGACGGUACCGUAAGAAUAAGCACCGGCUAACUACGUGCCAGCAGCCGCCGUAACAC